rnacentral:rRNA from 1 species
UGAGGAAUAUUGGUCAAUGGGCGGGAGCCUGAACCAGCCAAGUCGCGUGAGGGAAGAAGGCCCUAUGGGUCGUAAACCUCUUUUGUCAGGGAACAAAAGCGAGUAUGUAUACUAGUCUGAGUGUACCUGAAGAAAAAGCAUCGGCUAACUCCGUGCCAGCAGCCGCGGUAAUACGGAGGAUGCGAGCGUUAUCCGGAUUUAUUGGGUUUAAAGGGUGCGUAGGCGGCGGUGCAAGUCAGCGGUAAAAGCCCGGGGCUCAACCCCGGCGAGCCGUUGAAACUGCAGUGCUAGAGAAGGCGAGAGGUACGCGGAAUGCGCAGUGUAGCGGUGAAAUGCUUAGAUAUUGCGCAGAACUCCGAUUGCGAAGGCAGCGUACUGGCGCCUGACUGACGCUGAGGCACGAAAGCGUGGGGAUCGAACAGGAUUAGAUACC